GUGAGGAAUAUUGCGCAAUGGAGGCAACUCUGACGCAGCCAUGCCGCGUGCAGGAAGAAGGCGCUACGCGUUGUAAACUGCUUUUAACCGGGAAGAAACCCCAGGACGUGUCCUGGGUUGACGGUACCGGAGGAAUAAGCACCGGCUAACUUCGUGCCAGCAGCCGCGGUCAUACGAAGGGUGCAAGCGUUAUCCGGAUUCAUUGGGUUUAAAGGGUGCGUAGGCGGAGCGUUAAGUCAGUGGUGAAAGCCUGCAGCUUAACUGUAGAAUUGCCAUUGAUACUGGCGCGCUUGAGUGCGCUUGAAGUGGGCGGAAUGUGCCGUGUAGCGGUGAAAUGCUUAGAUAUGGCACAGAACACCAAUUGCGAAGGCAGCUCACUAAGGCGAUACUGACGCUGAGGCACGAAAGCGUGGGGAUCGAACAGGAUUAGAAACCCGGGUAGUCC
rnacentral:rRNA from 1 species